GAAAACUGAUAGCCGUGUGAUGUAACUGCCUUCUUGUGGAACUGCUCCAGUGUUUUCUCUCCGCAGGGAAAACACUGGAGAAUGGGUUGUGCAAAAUAAGAAAAGAAACCACGAAGACAUAGGAUCCAGGAAACAAGACCUGAACCAGGAAUGAGACAAAGGGAUGUCCAGAGGACGGUCAAAGAUGCACUGUCCUUGGCUGCAGUGACUGUGUCGCCUUGCAAAAAGUCGGCUACGCCACACUGUGUCUGAGUAGCUCUGCCAGGCCACCGUUCCUGCG